rnacentral:lncRNA from 1 species
UUUGUAAUGCCCCAGUUUGACUGUUUUGCUGAUUCUCGUGAUACAGCUGAAUGAGCUUCUUUCGUGCUCAAGAAGGUGGGUAAUCUCGUCAGGAAUCCCCUUCAACAUCAUCUUCCUCUGCCUCAGAUACAAGGACUUCAAGAUUGGGAGAUGGCGUUGGAUCAUUAUGUUCAAUGGGUUUAGAAAUCCCUGCAUAAUGAUUCUGGAUAAUGAAAAGCUUUUGAAUUUUAAAC